UUUAAACAUAUUUAUGUGAGGCAUCACACUUAUGUCUGAAAUUUUCCAAAACUACGUGUCGUCCCGUCCGUCCAGCAAACUGAUUGCAGUAAAGUAUCGAUGAAAGAUAUAAAAAAGACCGGCGACACAGGAGGUAUAGUUGCUAUAUAUCCAGGAGGAAAACGGACAGAAAUUUGUGAUUUGAAAACUGAUGGAGGAGGAUGGCUUGUAAGAUAAUGAAUUAACAUUUUCGCCCAAUCAAAAUCGCAUCCUAUCAUUAAAUGUCAUAUACAAUCACCUAUCGGUUCGAUAUGGAUAAAGGCAGUGGUUUGAAAUAAGCAAACAUCAGUUAUCACCAACAUUAUCUAAACUGAAUCAUCUCUGUCAUAAAACAAGCUCUCACUCGCUACUAUAAAAUUACCGCUAUUGAUUUGGUUAUGUUAGCUUUGGAAAAUAAUUUACAUUUUGGAGUUUUUAGUUCGGAUGUCGCCUUUUUGACCAAAUUUAAAAUCUAAAUAGUGAAAAGUAUUGAUCAGUCUUGCUGCCAUAUCGCACACAAUUUAACAAUUAACAAUAUAAAUAAUAAUUUUCUGGGGUAUUUCAACGAAGAAAAGAUGGAAGUCAAGACUUCUACAGGUCAUGGAAUGACUAUGUGAAGGGAUUCGGCGAUGAACAGGAAGAAUUUUGGCUUGAUACGGCGUUUUGAGCACCUUGUAUACAAAAAGCCUAAGAAGAUUGGACUGGCGUCAAGAAAUACGCAAAAUACUCGUCUUUCAAGAUCGGCAGUGCAAGUACGCAAUAUCAGCUCGGUAUCGGUGGCUAUUCUGGUGAUGCUACGGACGCCAUGUCCCCAAAAACGGAAUGAAAUUCUCAACAAAAGAUAAGGAUCACGACACUUGGAGCAAAAAUUGCGCUGUGUCCCACAAGGGAGCAUGGUGGUAUAGUAAAUGCCAUUUAUCCAAUCUUAAUGGAAAAUACUAUAAAGGUGGUACAAACUCUUCUUAUGGUGAUGGGGUCAAUUGGUAGGGAUGGAAAAGAUAUAAUUACUCACUCAAAUUUACGGAGAUGAAAAUUUGACCAACUGCAUAAAGUGGGAGAAAGAUGAAGUGCUGAAAAAUAGUUUCCAAACAAUAUUUUAAUAUUUUCUUUUAAUUUGCAAUACAUAUACAGAAAUCACAGGAGGGUGGCAGACAAUACUGGGAGCUGACUUUUCAAUACGGGAUGUCAUCUCGCUUCCAAAUGUCUGCACAGAAAAUCUGGUUUUUAAUUUCGUUUUCUGAUUGCGAUUACAGGUCUGAUUUUCCUAAUACUAAACCAUAAAUCACGAGUACUCCUGGGUUGAGGAUAUGUAGUCUUAAUAUAGUCUUAAUAUCGACAUACAUAUACGUGUGUUCAAAUCAUUAAACUUUUCCCAAUUUUAAUGCAUUCAUGAUAUAUGAGCUGAUAAGGACAGACAAUAUAGUUGCAAGGGGUGAUUUGGUGUAUGCAAACCAACAGCUAACAAACGUUUAUUUUGUUUUUAUACAUCUGCAGAGAUAGACUAUCUAAAUAGUGAAUGAUUUUGACAAGAAGGUUAUUGUAACUUCAUUCAGAAACAUAAGCAAAAUCGUAAUAUAUACGAUAUAUCACAUAUAUAUCACGGAAAAUAUAAUUCAACAUUUGUAUUACAUAU